rnacentral:rRNA from 1 species
GUUGGCUUAGAAGCAGCCAUCAUUUAAAGAAAGCGUAAUAGCUCACUGGUCGAGUCGGCCUGCGCGGAAGAUGUAACGGGGCUAAACCAUGCACCGAAGCUGCGGCAGCGACGCUGAUGCGUUGUUGGGUAGGGGAGCGUUCUGUAAGCCUGCGAAGGUGACCUGUGAGGGUUGCUGGAGGUAUCAGAAGUGCGAAUGCUGACAUAAGUAACGAUAAAGCGGGUGAAAAGCCCGCUCGCCGGAAGACCAAGGGUUCCUGUCCAACGUUAAUC